rnacentral:rRNA from 1 species
UACAGAGGGUGCGAGCGUUGUCCGGAAUCACUGGGCGUAAAGGGCGCGUAGGCGGCGCGACAAGUCAGUGGUGAAAGCUCGACGCUCAACGUCGAGUCGGCCACUGAUACUGUUGGGCUUGAGCACUGUAGAGGAUAAUGGAAUUCCGGGUGUAGCGGUGGAAUGCGUAGAGAUCCGGAAGAACACCGGUGGCGAAGGCGGUUAGCUGGGCAGUUGCUGACACUGAGGCGCGACAGCGUGGGGAGCGAACAGG